rnacentral:rRNA from 1 species
GCGUUCUGUAAGCCUGUGAAGGUGGCCUGUGAGGGUUGCUGGAGGUAUCAGAAGUGCGAAUGCUGACAUAAGUAACGAUAAAGCGGGUGAAAAGCCCGCUCGCCGGAAGACCAAGGGUUCCUGUCCAACGUUAAUCGGGGCAGGGUGAGUCGACCCCUAAGGCGAGGCCGAAAGGCGUAGUCGAUGGGAAACAGGUUAAUAUUCCUGUACUUGGUGUUACUGCGAAGGGGGGACGGAGAAGGCUAUGUUGGCCGGGCGACGGUUGUCCCGGUUUAAGCGUGUAGGCUGGUUUUCCAGGCAAAUCCGGAAAACCAAGGCUGAGGCGUGAUGACGAGGCACUACGGUGCUGAAGCGACAAAUGCCCUGCUUCCAGGAAAAGCCUCUAAGCAUCAGGUAACAUCAAAUCGUACCCCAAACCGACACAGGUGGUCAGGUAGAGAAUACCAAGGCGCUUGAGAGAACUCGGGUGAAGGAACUAGGCAAAAUGGUGCCGUAACUUCGGGAGAAGGCACGCUGAUAUGUAGGUGAAGCGACUUGCUCGUGGAGCUGAAAUCAGUCGAAGAUACCAGCUGGCUGCAACUGUUUAUUAAAAACACAGCACUGUGCAAACACGAAAGUGGACGUAUACGGUGUGACGCCUGCCCGGUGCCGGAAGGUUAAUUGAUGGGGUUAGCGGCAACGCGAAGCUCUUGAUCGAAGCCCCGGUAAACGGCGGCCGUAACUAUAACGGUCCUAAGGUAGCGAAAUUCCUUGUCGGGUAAGUUCCGACCUGCACGAAUGGCGUAAUGAUGGCCAGGCUGUCUCCACCCGAGACUCAGUGAAAUUGAACUCGCUGUGAAGAUGCAGUGUACCCGCGGCAAGACGGAAAGACCCCGUGAACCUUUACUAUAGCUUGACACUGAACAUUGAGCCUUGAUGUGUAGGAUAGGUGGGAGGCUUUGAAGUGUGGACGCCAGUCUGCAUGGAGCCGACCUUGAAAUACCACCCUUUAAUGUUUGAUGUUCUAACGUUGGCCCGUAAUCCGGGUUGCGGACAGUGUCUGGUGGGUAGUUUGACUGGGGCGGUCUCCUCCUAAAGAGUAACGGAGGAGCACGAAGGUUGGCUAAUCCUGGUCGGACAUCAGGAGGUUAGUGCAAUGGCAUAAGCCAGCUUGACUGCGAGCGUGACGGCGCGAGCAGGUGCGAAAGCAGGUCAUAGUGAUCCGGUGGUUCUGAAUGGAAGGGCCAUCGCUCAACGGAUAAAAGGUACUCCGGGGAUAACAGGCUGAUACCGCCCAAGAGUUCAUAUCGACGGCGGUGUUUGGCACCUCGAUGUCGGCUCAUCACAUCCUGGGGCUGAAGUAGGUCCCAAGGGUAUGGCUGUUCGCCAUUUAAAGUGGUACGCGAGCUGGGUUUAGAACGUCGUGAGACAGUUCGGUCCCUAUCUGCCGUGGGCGCUGGAGAACUGAGGGGGGCUGCUCCUAGUACGAGAGGACCGGAGUGGACGCAUCACUGGUGUUCGGGUUGUCAUGCCAAUGGCACUGCCCGGUAGCUAAAUGCGGAAGAGAUAAGUGCUGAAAGCAUCUAAGCACGAAACUUGCCCCGAGAUGAGUUCUCCCUGACUCCUUGAGAGUCCUGAAGGAACGUUGAAGACGACGACGUUGAUAGGCCGGGUGUGUAAGCGCAGCGAUGCGUUGAGCUAACCGGUACUAAUGAACCGUGAG